UGGAGAGAUAACAGAAGAGCAUGUCUGAAGAGAGAGGUAAGGAGCAUGUCUGAAGAGAGAGGUAAGGCGCAUGUCUGAAGAGAGAGGUAAGGAGCAUGUCUGAAGAGAGAGGUAAGGAGCAUGUCUGAAGAGAGAGGUAAGGCGCAUGUCUGAAGAGAGAGAGGUAAGGCGCAUGUCUGAAGAGAGAGAGGUAAGGCGCAUGUCUGAAGAGAGAGAGGUAAGGCGCAUGUCUGAAGAGAGAGCAUGUCUGAAGAGAGAGGUAAGGCGCAUGUCUGAAGAGAGAGCAUGUCUGAAGAGAGAGGUAAGGCGCAUGUCUGAAGAGAGAGGUAAGGCGCAUGUCUACCCAGGAAUGGAACCCUGCUCCAGGGCGGCCUGCUGCUGUUGAGUGGCCUGCUGCUGCACCAAAGGAGCCUCAUCUGAUGCCUGAGGAUGGGUCAUACUGGGAGUUAGC
ensembl:lncRNA